GUCUACGGCCAUACCACCCUGAGUGCACCCGAUCUCGUCUAAUCUCGGAAGCUAAGCAGGGUCGGGCCUGGUUAGUCCUUGGAAAGGGAGAAUGUAAAACUAUUGAGUAUUUUAAACU
ensembl:rRNA 5S_rRNA 5S ribosomal RNA